CCCCUGAGGGGAGGUGGCGCUGGGCAUAGUGAAGGAACACAAGGCUCCCCACCAGCCUCUGGAGAAACAGAAACAUUGCAUUAAGGAAGAUCCCAAGGAUCAGAGCUUGUAUUGGCAUGUGGGGAGGAAGGUGACUCUCUCCUGCUGAACUGGGGGGGAAUGGAGCGAAUCCUGAGCCUGAAACAUCCAAGCCUGAUCCCCAGCAAGUCACUGGAGAGACUGAAGUCAUCUCCUUUUAAAGCAGCCCAACAGAUCCCACACGCCAGUUUAUUCUUUCCUGGUGGAUUUUAGGAUUUAAAGCAUAAAGGCAAACAAGCUGUACAGCACCAGCAGCCUGAAGUUGGCAUGGAGAACGUGAUCCCCAAGGAAAAUAGCCAUCAGGCGCUUGUCAUGGAUGGAGAGCGAGGAAGGACAGAGCGAGUCACUGAGAGGAAUCACCUCCUGCAGCAAGCUGUGUUACAUGCAAGGUACUCCCAAGAUACCACCUAACGCAGUGCAGUCAUAGGGCACCUCAGUAAUGCUCCCAGUGAUCGGAGGGGAAAUUAAAGAGGCAUAAGAAACAUUGCAGCACUGUGGAUUCCAGCAGGAAAAAAAAUUAGUAUUAGGAAAAUCAUGGAAGAAACUGCUGGGUUAUAAGGGUAAGUCAACAGUGAGGCCUGUGAGCACACCUCCAUUUCCACAGCCAGGCACAAGUGGUUUGGUUUUAAACUCCUUCCCAUUUCCAUUUGUUAACAGAGACUGGGAACCAGACAUUCCUUUGGCAGUGGCUGUUGGAAAGGAUUUCAGUCACCAACCACUCACAUCCUUCUGUGUGACUCAGUGCUUUAUUGGCAAUCAUGACAGCACCCUGUAAUUAGCACGCAUGGUUGUUGGAGGUAAUUAUGUCAUAGUGGAGUGGGUACACUUCCAGGGGUCCCGGCACCCCCAGUGUACCCCCAGGGAAUGAGGCAGAGCAGAUAAUCGAUGUACGGUCACAGUGAAUCAAAAGCCAGGUGGGCCAGCAGGAUUUCCCAAAUCCCAUUCUGGUGACAAACCCGCCCAAAAAGUGGUUACCUUGGCAAAGCCAC